rnacentral:lncRNA from 1 species
GCUCACACCUGUAAUUCCAGCACUUUGAGAGGCUGAGGCAGGUGGAUCACGAGGUCAGGAGAUGGAGACCAUCCUGGCUAACAGGUGAAACCUCCUCUCUACUGAAAAAUACAAAAAAUUAGCUGGGUGUGGUGUCGGGCACCUGUAGUCCCAGCUCACCCAGCUACUCCGCAGGCUGAGGCAGGAGAAUAGCGUGAACCCGGGAGGCGGAGCUUGCAGUGAGCCGAGAUAGCGCCACUGCACUCCAGCUUGGGCGACAGAGCCAGACUCCGUCUCAAAAAAAAAAAAAAAAAAAAAAAAAAAAAAAAAAAAAAAAAAAAAUCAAUCGGGAGAAGGGAAGCCACCUGCUGCAGCCUGGAGGCUGGAGCCUGCGGCACUGCGACUCGCCUCGCCGCGCUACAGUUGGUGGUGGCGACAGAGACUGCAGUGUCGCGGAAGCGGUAGGAGGGCCACCCACAGCGGGAGCUGCUCCUGUCCGGCUAGACGACGAGAAAGGGGAGCCAUCUGCGGCACGUUGGAAGCUGGGGCCUGUGACAUCGCACCUCGCCUGGCUGCGGUUGGUGGCGGAGAAGGAGACUGCUGCGCAGCUGGAGUGGUGGUACAGAGCUCUACGAAAGAUCCUUAGAGGAGUCUCUUGUCCAAUGGUGUAAAGCUCUGUGACAAACAUGGGAGACUCACAGACUCAUGAGGAUGUUAUACCAACAGAAACACUGCCAGCUUGGAAAGAAAAGACAGACGGAAUACAAAAUGAAAAAGGGCUGUUAGACAGCCCCCUCCACCAAAAUUCUACAGGCAAGAAAUGUGAUGAUAAAGCUACUCAGCUGUAAACAUGUGAUACACUUCAAGAAAAAGGAAGGAAGACUCCAAGGCCGGAGCCACUAGCUCAGAGGGGGGGUCUGAGCCUUGAGUCACAGAUAAUUAUUCUCAAGCCUUGAAACAAAAUGGAAUGUGCCUGGCUUGAUUUUGAAAUUGAUUGGGACUGGCAACUCCUUUUUCUUCCUCUUCUCUUUUUGAAUGGAAAUAUCUAUCACUGUUAUCCUACGCCUGUCUCACCUUUGUAUUUUGGGAGUAGAUAACUUGUUUCUCGAAUUUCCCAGGUUCACUGUUAUCCCAUGCCGAUCUCACCUUUGUAUUUUGGGAGUAGAUAACUUGUUUCUUGAAUUUCCCAGGUUCACAGAUGAAGAAGAAUUGUGCCUGAGGAUGGAUAACUUCCAGAGCCUUGGAUGAUGCAAUUUGGCACUUUUGAGCUAAUCUAAAAGUUAGAUGAGAUUUUGGACUUUGAGUUGUUACUUUAAUGGGUUGAUAAGCCUGGGAAUCUUGGGGUGGAAUGUACUUUGCAUAUGGAAUAGAUGUGUAUCUUUGGGUGCCAGAAGGCAGUCUGUGGUAGGCAGAUUAAUGCCUCCCACAAAAAUGUCUACCUCUAAUCCUAGACCCAUGAAUAUGUUAUGCUAAUGGCAAAGGUUGCAAAUAGAAUUAAGGUGUUAAUUAGUUGACUCUAAGAUGGGGAGGUCAUCUUGGAUUCUGUAGUGUAAUCACAAACAUCCAACAUCUUCACAAGGGUUCUUAUAAGUGAAAGGUGAAGGCAGUAGAGAGAAAGUAAGAGAUGGAAGAAUGAGCAGGACUCAACCCGAUGUGGCUGGCUUGGAGAUGGAGGAAGGGGCCACUAGCCAAGGAGUGUGAGCAGCCUCUAAAGCUGGAAAUGACAAAGACAUGGAUUCCCUGCUAGAGUUCCAAAGGGAAUACAGCCCUGGAGACCUUGAGUUUUGCCCAGUGAGACCAGUUUGAGACCUCUGACCUCCACAACUCUAAGAUAAUAAAUGUGUAGUUACUUAACUUACUAAGUUUGUGGUAAUUUUGUUAUAGCAACAACAGAAGGCAAAUACACCUGGUGCUGUAGGAGGGACUCCUGUAGUUCCAGGACAGAAAUAAGGCUUCCUUGGCUGCCUUCUGUCACUGUGUUCGGGAUGGAAACACUGGACCUGGGUCACUGUCCUCCAUCUGGUCAUGGUCCUCCAGCUGCAACCGUGUGGACUAGAGAUGCACUGACAGAAUGGCACAGUGAUGAGACAGGUAGGGCUCCGGAAACUUUGACCUCUGGCUCUUCUGCCAAUCCAGACUUUAACAAGAGGGAGAACCAAACUUCUUUAUUUUUUAAGUUACUGUUAUUUUGAUCUUUGCUAAAGCAGCCAAACCAAUAUCUUACCUUAUACAGCAGCAACCUUGUCCACUACACACCAGUGGAGGAGUUAGGUG